AGAGGCGGAAGUGCGCCCGAACUGCUCUCACGGGCUUCCCUCCCUAGCCGUAGCACCCGACUCCGGCGAAGGAGUCAGACAUAGCCAGGACUGAGGCGGGAAGAGGGGGAACACGAGGGUUUUGGUGUCGAGGCUGCUAGUUCUCCCCAGAGGCAGCCCUCAGCUGUAGGAAUGAUACUUCUCGCAGUGAGAAAGCAAUAGGAACCAAAGGGAAGCGCGGCAGGCAGUGCUGGAAAUUGAACCCAGGGCCUUGUAUAUGCAAAGCAUUGACUACUGAGCUAAGCCCCAGCCUGUCCAGGGAGGAAAGUGAAUGUUUUCUACAGGAAGAAACACCAUUUGCCAUGAUCUGAUCAAUAUGUUGUUUACAUAUAUUAAAAUAUACAGUACCUUGUAAACAUGUACAAUUAUGUCAAUUAAAAAGCCUUAAUGUUUGAAAAAAGUUGUAUAUGUAUUCAACCCACAGACUUAUCAGUUUUCCUUAAAAAUGCAGUGUAAUUAAUCUCACAACCUGUCCACUGUGUUGGGUACUGUCAUUAAUACAGAGACGAUGUAAAGUCCAGGCUGCGGGGCGUGGCGGUGCACACCUGUAGUUCCUAGGCCGAUCUCUGUGGAUACGGAAGGAUGAUUGCUUUUCUUAGUAUGUUUGCUUCUCUGUUAAUCAUUUCCCACAUUAAAGUAUAAAUUUCAUUAGAA